UCGACAUGUUAAACAGAGCUGCCUCUGCUGUCUCUCCCCCCACUUCGUUCCACAUCCACCCAGACCCGGGUAAAACAGAGGCAGGCAGCACCGAGCACGAGCUAGCUAGCUAGCAGCUUGCAUCCAUGGCGGACCGGAGCAACAUGGGCGGCAGCCUUGGGAUGCUAGCCGCGGUCGCCGUGGUGUCGACCGGCAUCAUCCUGGCAUCGUACCACCUCCACCGCCGCCUCGUCGCCGACCUCCAGACGGGCAUCACCGCAGAGCAACGGCGGCAGAGGAGGACGGCGAAGAAGAAGAAGAAGGUGCGGUUCGCGGACGAGGUGAUGGUGGCGGAUCCCUUGUCGGCCCUCCGAGAGUACCGCCGUCGACGGAGGGCCGCGGCCAAUGGCCCCAUUCGGCCGGCGCUGCGUAAGGCCUAGCUACUCGGCCUUUUUGCAAUCAGCUUCAGUGAAUAAAUCAGCAGCUACUCCUAUAAGAGAAGGCAGUACUACUAAAUAAAGCUGCGUUUUCCCUAAACAUUGCUAUUACCAUCCUUGGGUUAUAAUAAUUGAGUUGUUUAAUUUUUGAAGCA